AGACUACUCAGCAAAUUGGAUGUAGAGUGUUGGAGGCUAUUUUAUCGAAGAAGUCAAAAAUCGGUAGGAUGGUCAGUUUUACGAGGGUGUGUUUGGCAGCAUGAAUGAAGGAUGCUUUAUUGCGAAAUAGGAGGCCGAUUCUAGAUUUAAUUUUGUAUUGGAGAUGCUUAAUGUGAGUCUGGAAGGAGAGUUUACAGUCUAACCAGACACCUAGGUAUUUAUAGUUGUCCACAUAUUCUAAGUCAGAACCGUCCAGAGUAGUGAUGCUGGGCAGGUGUGGUCAGCGAUCGGUUGAAGACAUUGCAUUUAGUUUUACUUGCAUUUAAGAGCAGUUGGAGGCCACGGAAGGAGAGUUGUCUGGCAUUGAAGCUCGUCUGGAGGUUAGUUAACGGUGUCCAAAGAAGGGCCAGAAGGACACAAAAUGGUGUCACCAGCAGCAAGAGCGACAUCAUUAAUGUAUACAGAUAAGAGUCGAGAAUUGAACCCUGUGGCACCCCCAUAGAGACUGCCAGAGGUCCAGACAACAGGUCCUCUGAUUUGACACUUCUCCGUCUGAGAAGUAGUUGGUGAACCAGGCGAGGCAGUCAUUUGAGAAGGCUGUUGAGUCUGCCGAUAAGAAUGUGGUGAUUGAUGGAGUCGAAAACCUCGGCCAGGUCUAUGAAGACGGCUGCACAGUAUUGUCUUUUGUCGAUGGCUGUUAUGAUAUCAUUUAGGACCUUGAGCGUGGCUGAGGUGCACCCAUGACCAGCUCGGAAACCAGAUUGCAUAGCGGAAAAGGUACGGUGGGAUUCGAAAUGGUCGGUGAUCUGUUUGUUAACUUGGCUUUCGAACACCUUAGAAAGGCAGGGUAGGAUAGAUAUAGGUCUGUAACAGUUUGGGUCUAGAGCGUCUCCCCCUUUGAAGAGGGGGAUGACCGCGGCAGCUUUCCAAUCUUUGGGGAUCUCAGACGAUACGAACAGGUUGAACAGGCUGGUAAUAGGGGUUGCAACAAAUGCGGCGGAUCAUUUCAAAUGCCCUAGGUUCAGUUAUUUGAAACAGGUCCUAUACCCUAGGUUCAGAGUUAUUUGAAACAGGUCCUAUACCCUAGGUUCAGUUAUUUGAAACAGGUCCUAUACCCUAGGUUCAGAGUUAUUUGGAACAGGUCCUAUACCCUAGGUUCAGAGUUAUUUGGAACAGGUCCUAUACCCUAGGUUCAGAGUUAUUUGGAACAGGUCCUAUACCCUAGGUUCAGAGUUAUUUGGAACAGGUCCUAUACCCUAGGUUCAGAGUUAUUUGGAACAGGUCCUAUGCCCUAGGUUCAGAGUUAUUUGAAACAGGUCCUAUACCCUAGGUUCAGUUAUUUGGAACAGGUCCUAUACCCUAGGUUCAGUUAUUUGGAACAGGUCCUAUACCCUAGGUUCAGUUAUUUGGAACAGGUCCUAUACCCUAGGUUCAGUUAUUUGGAACAGGUCCUAUACCCU